rnacentral:rRNA from 1 species
AACGAACGCUGGCGGCAUGCCUAACACAUGCAAGUCGAACGAGACCUUCGGGUCUAGUGGCGCACGGGUGCGUAACGCGUGGGAACCUGCCUUUAGGUUCGGAAUUAACUCGGGGAAAUUUAGCCAAUUACGGGUGGUUGCCUCCGAACCAAAGAUUUAUCGCCUUUAGAUGGGCCCGCGUUGGAUUAGCUAGUUGGUGGGGUAAAGGCCUACCAAGGCGACGAUCCAUAGCUGGUCUGAGAGGAUGAUCAGCCACACUGGGACUGAGACACGGCCCAGACUCCUACGGGAGGCAGCAGUGGGGAAUAUUGGACAAUGGGCGAAAGCCUGAUCCAGCAAUGCCGCGUGAGUGAUGAAGGCCUUAGGGUUGUAAAGCUCUUUUACCCGAGAUGAUAAUGACAGUAUCGGGAGAAUAAGCUCCGGCUAACUCCGUG